GGCGGUGAUGUAAGACAGCUCGUGAAAUCCCCGGGCUCAACCUGGGAAUUGCGAUUGUGACUGCAUCGCUGGAGUGCGGCAGAGGGGGAUGGAAUUCCGCGUGUAGCAGUGAAAUGCGUAGAUAUGCGGAGGAACACCGAUGGCGAAGGCAAUCCCCUGGGCCUGCACUGACGCUCAUGCACGAAAGCGUGGGGAGCAAACAGGAUUAGAUACCCUGGUAGUCCACGCCCUAAACGAUGUCAACUGGUUGUUGGGUCUCUUCUGACUCAGUAACGAACUGAACGCGUGAAGUUGACCGCCUGGGGAGUACGGCCGCAAGGUUGAAACUCAAAUGAAUUGACGG
rnacentral:rRNA from 1 species